CCAGCCACCAGCCGCUCGCUGUCCCUGCGGAGCCUCCGCCUCUGGACCCUGCCCGGGCUGAGCGCGGUGCCCUUGGAGCUCCCACUUCCGCUCGGUUCGCCCGAGCGGAAGUGCGCCGGCCGGCCGUGUCCCCUACGGCCUCCAGGCGGAAGCGCGCUGAGGCCGCCUCUCCCACCGAUCCCGCGUUGCGCUGUGCGUCGGGUUCCGGAGAGGUCCCGUGUGACGUGGCCGCGCGCCGAGGGCGGCUCCGGGCCGGGGGCCGGGCAGCCGGGCAGCCGGGCAGCCGGGCCGGGUGGGGCAGGCCCGGGGCGGGGCGCGGUUUCGCAGCUGGAUGGCCGGGACAGCUCGGAGCGCUACCGCUGCCGCACGCACGUGGCAUGCCUGGAUGCCCCUGCCCCUGUUGUGGCAUGACGGGCCAGAGGCUCCUCUUCCUCACUGCUCUUGCCCUGGAGCUCCUAGGAGGGACUGGGGGUUCCCAGCAGGCCCUCUGGAGCUGGGGGGCUGCCACAGCAUGUCACCUGGACAACAAGGAAAGUGAAUCCUGGGGGACCCUGCUGAGUGGGGAGAGGCUGGAUACCUGGAUCUGCUCCCUCCUGGGCUCCCUCAUGGUGGGGCUCAGCGGGGUUUUCCCACUGCUCAUCAUUCCCCUGGAGAUGGGGGCCACGCUGCACUCAGAAGCUGGGGCCCAGCGCCUGAAGCAGCUGCUCAGCUUUGCCUUGGGGGGCCUCUUGGGCAACGUGUUUCUCCACUUGCUGCCUGAGGCGUGGGCCUACACGUGCAGCACCAGCCCUGGUGGCAAGGGGCAGAGCCUUCAGCAGCAGCAGCAGCUGGGGCUGUGGGUCAUCACUGGCUUUCUGACCUUCCUGGCGCUGGAGAAGAUGCUCCUGGACAGCAAGGAGGAGGAGGAGACCAGCCAGGCCUCCAGCAAAGACCCAGCUGCUGCUGCCGUGCUCAAUGGAGGCCACUAUCUGGCCCAGCCAGCUGCAGAAACUGGCGUGAGUGCUGUGGUCCGGAGCAUCAAAGUCAGUGGCUAUCUUAACCUCCUGGCCAACACCAUAGACAACUUCACUCAUGGGCUUGCUGUGGCUGCCAGCUUCCUUGUGAGCAAGAAGAUUGGGCUCCUGACCACCAUGGCCAUCCUCCUGCAUGAGAUCCCCCAUGAGGUGGGCGACUUUGCCAUCCUGCUCCGAGCCGGCUUUGACAGAUGGAGCGCAGCCAAGCUGCAGCUCUCGACGGCACUGGGGGGCCUGCUGGGUGCCUGCUUCGCCAUCUGUACACAGUCCCCCAAGGGAAGGAGACUGUGACCUGGAUCCUGCCCUUCACCUCUGGGGGCUUUCUCUACAUUGCCCUGGUGAAUGUGCUGCCUGACCUCUUGGAGGAAGAUGACCCAUGGCGCUCCCUACAGCAGGUGCUGCUGCUCUGCGCUGGCAUAGUGGCGAUGGUGAUGUUCUCACUCUUCGUGGAGUGACCACCCAACGGUUCACCCCACACAGUGAUAAGAGGCCCGGAUUCACUCUGUGACCAUCUGUGCGGCAGAGAACCAGAGUCUAAGAGAGUGCACCUCCAACCAGAUGAGAGGAGAGUGUCUGUGUGUGUGCAGGUGUGACCAGAGAUGUGUGAGACCGACACUGUGAUCCCUCAUGCUCUGGGCCCAGAGCCUGAUGCCCGCGCCCAUCCCUGGCCACACUGUGGCUUCUCUCCUUGCUACCCUGUCACCUUGCACUUCCCAGAGUGAGCAAUGAGGAACAGCAGCAUUGGUCCCAAGCAGAGGCUUCUCCCCACCAGGACCCCAGGGGCAGUGAGCAUGGCCCAAGGAGCCUAGGGCUGCAGGAAGCCCCGCAAUGGUCACCCCCUGGGGCCUCAUGGGUCCCUCGCCUGAGAUGAACCCCACUGGUCAUGACCUGGCAGCCUAGGGGCCAAGGCUGGGGCGCCUUCUCUCUGCUGUGUUCUUUGGCAGCUUGAAAACCAAAGAAAGGAGGGGCAGGGGUUCAUGGAGCCAUACCUGGCCCAGCAUGGAGCUGGGAGUUGCUAAAACCUUUUCCUUCUGGUAGCCCUCCCGCCCUGGGCCAGCUCCUGCUCCCUGGGAGCACCAGCAGCUCUUGCCACCUCCAGCUGCCAGACAGCAGCCUGCAAGGCAGCAUGCAGCUCCUGGACAGAGGCCCCGUGGUCCAGCUCAGGGAUGCUCAUGGCAGCAGGGUCCAGGAAGCGACCUAGGGCAGGGAGGAUGAGCCGCAGCUGCCACCCCUGCUUGGGCCCCUUUUCCUGUCCCUUUGGGUGGGGGUAAGGUAGGGGUGGGAGGGCUCCUGGCCAUCAUCACUCAGGAAUGUGCUCUUGGAGAAUGCUAAAGCCAUAAUCCCCAGCUAUUUCCCUUGGCUGACGCCCAGGUACUCAGCUGGCCCACUCCACAGCCAGGCUUCAGCCUUGCUGCCCAACUGUGGACGUUUUGAGAAGUGGCCAUGAAGAGAGUCUGAAAGCUUUUACAGCAGUUUUGCUCUGGUUCUGUUUGUAUCUGUAAAUACCUAUUCUAUAGAUAAAGGUGCAAAUAAAUAUUAAAUACAAA